GGGGGGGGGGCCCAAUCAUGCAAGUCGAACGGUAGCAGGAGAAAGCUGUGCUCUUCCUUGCUGACUACUGGCGGACGGGUGAGUAGUGCUUGGGAAUCUGGCUUAUGGAGGGGGAUAACGACGGGAAACUGUCGCUAAUACCGCGUAUUAUCGGAAGAUGAAAGUGCGGGACUGAGAGGCCGCAUGCCAUAAGAUGAGCCCAAGUGGGAUUAGGUAGUUGGUGGGGUAAAGGCCUACCAAGCCUGCGAUCUCUAGCUGGUCUGACAGGAUGACCGGCCACACUGGAACUGAGUCACGGUCCAGACUCCUACGGGAGGCAGCAGUGGGGAAUAUUGCGCAAUGGGGGGAACCCUGACGCACCCAUGCCGCGUGAAUGAAUAAGGCCUUAUGGUUGUACAGUUCUUUCGGUAUUGAGGAAAGUUGAUGUGUUAAUAUCACAUCUUAUUGACGUUAAAUACACAAGAAGCACCGGCUAACUCCGUGCCAUCAGCCGCGGUAAUACAGAGGGUGCGAGCGUUAAUCGGAAUAACUGGGCGUAAAGGGCACGCAGGCGGUUAUUUAAUUGACGUGUGAAAUCCCUGGGCUUAGCCUAAGAAUUGCAUUUCAGACUGUGUAACUAUAGUACUUUAGGGAGGAGUAGAAUUCCACCUGUCGCAAUGAAAUGCGUAUAGAUGUGGAGGAAUACCGAAGGCAAACGCAUCUGCUUUCCAAUGUACUGACGCUCAUGUGCGAUAGCAUGCGCAGGGGACACGAUUACAUACGCUGGUAGUCCACUCUGUAUUCCCUGUCUAUCUGCUGGUGGGGGUUUACUCCCCCCCCCGUAAUCUACGUGAUCACUCGGGGGUGCAGGUCUUACGUUAGGCACAGUUCGUGUUCU
rnacentral:rRNA from 1 species